ACCCCCUGGAAUGGACAGAGAUACCUUGUUGGUGGUGUUCAUAUAUUAGUCAGGGGCAGAACAGAUGGUAGUUCUUUGUUCAUCCUGACUUGGUGCCUGGCUUGGUGGCCCAAGUUGUUUCAUGCCUACACCACAUAA